UACGUAGGGUGCAAGCGUUAAUCGGAAUUACUGGGCGUAAAGCGUGCGCAGGCGGUUCCGCAAGUCAGAUGUGAAAUCCCCGGGCUUAACCUGGGAACUGCAUUUGAAACUAUGGAGCUAGAGUGUGUCAGAGGGGGGUAGAAUUCCACGUGUAGCAGUGAAAUGCGUAGAUAUGUGGAGGAAUACCGAUGGCGAAGGCAGCCCCCUGGGAUAACACUGACGCUCAUGCACGAAAGCGUGGGGAGCAAACAGG
rnacentral:rRNA from 1 species